rnacentral:lncRNA from 1 species
AGACCGGGAGAGACGGGGAGAGACGAGUAGAGACGGGAAGAGACGGGGAGAGACGGGGAGAGACCAAGAGAGACACAUAUCAAAAUAUGUGAUAUAGAUGUGAAAUAACAACAAGCGAGUAAAAAUGUAUUUCCAAAAAUAAAGAUAAGUUUUAUUCUAAUUAUAUAUAAACUUGUAAGAUCGAAAAUGUGCCAUAAUAAUUUCCAUUCAUCAAAAUUGCUUUUGAAACAUGAAAGAACGAAACAUAUUUGAUCUACGUUAACAUUUCUAUUUUGUAAAGUCUGCUUUUUAAAACGAUCUGUCAUUUCUGUCACAAAAUACACAACAAAUUUUAGAGUAUAGAAUUACAUCUACAACUUUACAACGCACGUUUCGACGUACAUUUUAAUACAUUUUCUAUGUGUAAAACUAUUCUAAUUCCGCGUUUAAAAAAACAUUUCUCGUAUUAUAUAAGCGAAACGAGUUUGUAAACGAAAUUUUAUACUGAAUCUCGACACGAAUUACUGUCUGAAAUGGACUUGACGUCACAGCCUCGAGUUCAAGUGAGCGGGCGUGAAAGGACGCGAAUGAAUGGCUUGCCUCAAAUGAGUGCGAGCAGUGUGCGAUCGCACCAUUGAGUAUUUUACCGUAUCGGAUAAGUGAAAUAUUUCAUUGAAGAGCCGUCGCUCGGGCGCACAACGCUCGGCAUUUGUUUUCGUGACACGCGGCGCGCUAUUGUUUACAUAAGGUCGCCGUGUUGUCAUUCGUACGACGGCUGGGCGACGAUACGAGUCGCUCCAUUGUUAUUAUCCUUCGAGAUAUGCGUUUGCGGCAGGCAGAUACAUUGAGAAGGCGCUAUCAUUCAGGAGUAAUUCAGUUAGCGAUCACUAAUCAGUCAAUUUUCCUCACUAACGAGUCGAUAAGAGUAGCGACGAAGAUAUAAAUAAUCUACAUUACUAGUAAUAGAGUAGUUAAUUAAAGUCGAUUCAACUGGCUAAAUUUUUAUUAGAUUUAUUUAUGCAAUUACAACGUUUCAGCCCUUACUUUGGAUCCUUUUCAAGUAAUAAUAAAGUUGGAACGUGAUCGUAACAGUCACACGGUAAAUAAGUGGAUCGUGCCAACAACUUAUAAUUACACAACUAAAAAAGAAAUGACGAUUUAGAAACUAGCGAAUGAACAAGAAUAUAAACAAAUCUACAUUACGCUAUAUGUUAUGCAAAAUAUGUUUUAUCUACGUAAAUAAUAAUCUGUGGAUCAUAGAAAAUUUUGAAAUUUGAAAUUCAGAAAUAGUAAAAAUUAUAUUUCAUUUUUUAUUUUACCAAUAUUAAAGUCAGGUACAUUAACAAUCCUAUAAUUCAAUUAUUUUUUUUCUACAUUGUGUUAUUUAAUUUAUAAUAAUUUGCAUUACUUGUAUCGUUCACAUGGGAAGGAUUCGAGUGAACAGAUACGUAAACAAUACGUAAAUAAUUCAUGAGACGUAAUCUGGAAAUUUGCAGCACAACUCCCCGGUAGCAAAUAGAAAUAAUAAAGCAGGGUUUUAUCUCCACGCGUUUGUAUUUUCGAACGUAUUUAUCUCAUCGUCGUGAACCUCUCGCCGAUUCGAGCGUAAUUCGACCGUGAUUUUCACGUCGAGACCGUGAUAUUCAUACGAUCGUUUAUUAAUGACAAGCCGGCUUUUGCAUGCAUAAUUGUACACGCAGAUAAUACAUCUCGUUGACGAUUGCGCAUGGAAAACUCGAAUGGUCGGCCGUUCGAUUGGUAAGUUCGCGACUUAUCGCGCGCGCGGCAUCGAAGUGAAGUUGCCGACGACACUGUGUGAGUCGCUCCGACUCCGAAGUCACGUUCGCGAAUCGGCCUACGCGUCGCUGGCGUCGUCGGUCGCGAUCCGUUUGACUGGUAAACACGCUCGUCGCGAUUAACCUCGAUAUUUGUUAAACACACGGCGCGGCAUAAAUCCCGGGGUUUGCGCGGCGAUUAAAGGUCUCCGUCGGGAAUACUCGUCCGUCGCGUUGAUGGUACAUAUGCAUGCAUGUCGGAGUCGUCGCGAGCCCAUUGCGACUCUUUUCACGGCGUUAACUCCACGGCGCCAUUGCGUCACGUAUGUAUGGUUAACGUUCAAAAGCGUCGUGCCGAAAGAACCCACGAAAUCUGGUAUUCUGACGUGCAAGUUCGCGCGCGCGUUUGUAAUUAAUCGUGUUUUCGCGAGUGAGCGAGUGAGUGCCAUAAGGGAGCAACGAGAAAUCUGAGAGGAGGAGGAGGGGGACGUCGGACGACGGCGCAGCAACCACGGGGUCGAUGCAGUUAUAAUUCCACCGCUGCCCAUCGUAUUGGUGAGUGAAUGUCAAAUUAUCUCUUAUUUUAAUUUAAGAUAAUGGAUUUGCGAAUAUUACAGUUAAAUAUAACAUCUGGCAAAACCGCUGCCUUAAAAUGGAUGAACUGGGGCAUAUUAGUGUAAUGUUUAACUCCGAUAUCUAAUGCAACCAUCCGUCGACCCAUUAUGCAUACAUAUGUACAGAAACGUAUAGAGCUUAUUAUUAUUAUCGAUGCAUCAUUGACCGGCCGGCUAGAUCAUUUACUAUGCAUCUCGGUAUCUUAUUAUGCAGCAACAUGUAAUUAGUAUUAUUUGAUAAUUAGUGUUCAGAUCAAAUUUUAAUAGGUUGCUCAAAAUUUAUAGAAAAUUUGAAUUCGCAGACAAGUACAAGUGAAGAAAAAGAAAUAUUUUACAAUUAUGCUCGGUGAAAAGUAAUCAACAUGAUAAAGUAACUGUCAUAAA